GAUGAACGCUGGCGGCGUGCCUAAUACAUGCAAGUCGAGCGAACGGACGAGAAGCUUGCUUCUCUGAUGUUAGCGGCGGACGGGGGAGUAACACGUGGAGAACCUACCUAGAAGACUGGGAUAACUUCGGGAAACCGGAGCUAAUACCGGAUAAUAUUUUGAACCGCAUGGUUCAAAAGUGAAAGACGGUCUUGCUGUCACUUAUAGAUGGAUCCGCGCUGCAUUAGCUAGUUGGUAAGGUAACGGCUUACCAAGGCAACGAUGCAUAGCCGACCUGAGAGGGUGAUCGGCCACACUGGAACUGAGACACGGUCCAGACUCCUACGGGAGGCAGCAGUGGGGAAUCUUGCGCAAUGGGCGAAAGCCUGGCGGAGCAACGCCGCGUGUAUGAUGAAGGUCUUCGGGUCGUAAAGCUCUGUUAGUAGGGAGGAAGAGAUGUAUGAGUAACUGUGCACAUAUUGACGUUACCUGCUGAGGAAGCCACGGCUAACUACGUG
rnacentral:rRNA from 1 species